UUCAGAUAUGGAGACAUGGUUCCUAAGACCAUCAUGGGGAAGAUCUUUGGCUCUAUUUGCUCUCUGAGUGGCGUGUUGGUGAUCGCUCUUCCCGUUCCUGUCAUCGUGUCCAAC
rfam:Danio rerio chromosome 4, GRCz11 reference primary assembly.